rnacentral:lncRNA from 1 species
UCUGAAGACCUUGGGGGACCUGGCUCUGUGGGGAUCGCCAUUCAGUGGUGGCCUAACUGUGUUAUCAACACCAGGCCAGGAGCAGAGAGGAAGGUUGCCAAGGGCAGUGCUUUUGUAAGAACAGAUGCUCAGGACACAGAUGAGAGGAAGCAACCACCACACGACACAGGGCACCGUCUAUAAGCCAAGCAGAGUGGUCUCAGGAGACACGGCCAGCCACAUCAUGAUCUUAAGACUACAGCCUCCAGGACUUGAGAUAAUAAAUCCCGAAAGCAAUAAAUUCCCGGCCAUGAGCAUGAAGGUGAGGGGCAGGAUCUCCUGUGAUCCCAUCACAGUCCCAAGGCAGGCCAUGGAAGAGAAAGACACACUCAACCUAUUCCCACCCCGGCCUCGAAUGCUCCGAACUCAGGUUGGCACCUCUGUCCCAUCUGAAGUCGUCUGAAACUGGUAUCUUCAGUAAGUGUGUUUAGACACACUCAAUCGCUGCUGUCUGUGGAGAAGUACGGUGACAUCUAAGCGCACAAUUGCCUCUGCCUCUGUACCUCCUCAGAGAGGCUAGCAGCCAGUUGGACAGGAGCCCAGCAUUCUGGACUCUAGAGCAGCGGUUCUCAACCUUCCUAAUGCUGCGACCCUUUCAUACAGUUCCUCGUGUGUGGUGA